UACGGAGGAUGCGAGCGUUAUCCGGAUUUAUUGGGUUUAAAGGGUGCGUAGGCGGACUGUCAAGUCAGCGGUAAAAUUGAGAGGCUCAACCUCUUCCCGCCGUUGAAACUGGUGGUCUUGAGUGGAUGAGAAGUACGCGGAAUCCGUGGUGUAGCGGUGAAAUGCUUAGAUAUCACGAAGAACUCCGAUUGCGAAGGCAGCCUGCUGGACUGUAACUGACGCUGAUGCUCGAAAGUGUGGGUAUCAAACAGG
rnacentral:rRNA from 1 species